rnacentral:rRNA from 1 species
UACGUAGGGGGCGAGCGUUGUCCGGAUUCAUUGGGCGUAAAGAGCUCGUAGGCGGCUCGUUGCGUCGGCUGUGAAAACCCGCAGCUCAACUGUGGGCUUGCAGCCGAUACGGGCGGGCUAGGAUUCGGUAGGGGAGACUGGAAUUCCUGGUGUAGCGGUGAAAUGCGCAGAUAUCAGGAGGAACACCGGUGGCGAAGGCGGAUCUCUGGGCCUUACCUGACGCUGAGGCGCGAAAGCUAGGGGAGCAAACAGG